CCAACAGGAAGGGAAAUUCACUUGGAUUAAUGGAGAGGCAUCGUCUUUCACAUACUGGGCACCGGGACAGCCCGGAGUGGUGGAGUUACCCGGUGUCGGUAGAAAACGUUUUCUUUUGGACACCUUGACGGGAGGAGGCCUUCAUCUGGUAGAGGAAGAUUGCGUCCUGCUGAAGUAUUCGGACUCCGGUCACUGGCACGACUAUCCCUGUGUUAAGUUGGAUCCACUAGGCCUUGUGCAUGAAAACUAUCCAUACGUUUGCGAAUACAACCAAACGCCCGCUCCAACGGUCACCACGUUAGGAGCACCCAUAAGGCCAUCAACGCCGAUAUUCACUAGCACCACCACCACCUUAGGUGGACCCAUUUCUGUCACCACCGCACCACCCACGACUCCAGAACCAGACAUAUAAGCCGGUACCACAUCAGCAGGCGCCAUCGCUGGUUCCAUGGGAGAGCUCGUAGUAUGGGCAGAAAAGAUGUUAAAUUGUGAUAAGCAUGUUUUAAAUAAAAUCAUGGACUUCUAUGUUUGAAUU